UGAAGGAUGAUGAAAGAUUUCAUUUGAAUUCCCUAUGAUGUCUAUAGUGAUUACUACAACAGCUACUUCUGACUGAA